GUGGGGAAUCUUAGACAAUGGGCGCAAGCCUGAUCUAGCCAUGCCGCGUGAGCGAUGAAGGCCUUAGGGUUGUAAAGCUCUUUCGUGGGGGAAGAUAAUGACUGUACCCCAAGAAGAAGCCCCGGCUAACUCCGUGCCAGCAGCCGCGGUAAUACGGAGGGGGCUAGCGUUGUUCGGAAUUACUGGGCGUAAAGCGCACGUAGGCGGACCGGAAAGUCAGAGGUGAAAUCCCAGGGCUCAACCUUGGAACUGCCUUUGAAACUCCUGGUCUUGAGGUCGAGAGAGGUGAGUGGAAUUCCGAGUGUAGAGGUGAAAUUCGUAGAUAUUCGGAGGAACACCAGUGGCGAAGGCGGCUCACUGGCUCGAUACUGACGCUGAGGUGCGAAAGCGUGGGGAGCAAACAGGAUUAGAUACCCCGGUAGUCCC
rnacentral:rRNA from 1 species